rnacentral:tRNA from 1 species
GGCUGUAGCUCAAUGGUAGAGCGCGCGCUUCCCAAGCCUGAUACGCGGGUUCGAUUCCCGUCAGCC